rnacentral:rRNA from 1 species
GAUGAACGCUAGCGGGAGGCCUAACACAUGCAAGCCGAGCGGUAUUUGUCUUUCGGGACAGAGAGAGCGGCGUACGGGUGCGGAACACGUGUGCAACCUGCCUUUAUCUGGGGGAUAGCCUUUCGAAAGGAAGAUUAAUACCCCAUAAUAUAAUGAAUGGCAUCAUUUAUUAUUGAAAACUCCGGUGGAUAGAGAUGGGCACGCGCAAGAUUAGAUAGUUGGUGAGGUAACGGCUCACCAAGUCGAUGAUCUUUAGGGGGCCUGAGAGGGUGAUCCCCCACACUGGUACUGGGACACGGACCAGACUCCUACGGGAGGCAGCAGUGAGGAAUAUUGGACAAUGGGUUAGCGCCUGAUCCAGCCAUCCCGCGUGAAGGACGACGGCCCUAUGGGUUGUAAACUUCUUUUGUACAGGGAUAAACCUACUCUCGUGAGGGAGCUUGACGGUACUGUAAGAAUAAGGAUCGGCUAACUCCGUGCCAGCCGCCGCCGUAA